rnacentral:tRNA from 1 species
GGCGCCGAUGGCCAGGUAGCGGAGGACCGCGUCCCCGGACGGCACGUUCGCGAUCGGCAGCUGGUUGAGAUCCGGGUUCUGGACCUGGGACACCGCC